CCUACGGGAGGCAGCAGUGGGGAAUAUUGCACAAUGGGGGAAACCCUGAUGCAGCGACGCCGCGUGAGUGAAGAAGUAAUUCGUUAUGUAAAGCUCUAUCAGCAGGGAAGAAAAUGACGGUACCUGAGUAAGAAGCCCCGGCUAACUACGUGCCAGCAACCGCGGUAAUACGUAGGGGGCAAGCGUUAUCCGGAUUUACUGGGUGGAAAGGGAGCGUAGACGGCAGUGCAAGUCUGGAGUGAAAGGCGGGGGCUCAACCCCCGGACUGCUCUGGAAACUGUACGGCUGGAGUGCAGGAGAGGUAAGUGGAAUGCCUAGUGUAGCGGUGAAAUGCGUAGAUAUUAGGAGGAACACCAGUGGCGAAGGCGGCUUACUGGACUGUAACUGACGUUGAGGCUCGAAAGCGUGGGGAGCAAACAGGAUUAGAUACCCGAGUAGUC
rnacentral:rRNA from 1 species